rnacentral:rRNA from 1 species
GGCCUACCAUGGUGGUAACGGGUAACGGGGUGUUAGGGCACGACACCGGAGAGGGAGCCUGAGAAACGGCUACCACAUCCAAGGAUGGCAGCAGGCGCGCAAAUUACCCAAUCCCGACACGGGGAGGUAGUGACAAUAAAUAACAAUACGGGGUUCUUUCGGAUCUCGUAAUUGGAAUGAGUACAAUUUAAAUCUCUUAACGAGGAACAAUUGGAGGGCAAGUCUGGUGCCAGCAGCCGCGGUAAUUCCAGCUCCAAUAGCGUAUAUUAAAGUUGUUGCAGUUAAAAAGCUCGUAGUUGAAUUUCGGGAUCAAUUUAUUGGUCGUGCUAUUGUACGUACUGGUAUUAUUGAUUCCUACCUUCUGACGAACCAUGAUGUCCUUAAUUUGGUGUCAUGGGGAAUCAGGACUGUUACUUUGAAAAAAUUAGAGUGUUUAAAGCAGGCUCACGCUUGAAUACAUUAGCAUGGAAUAACGAAAUAGGACGUUUGAUUCUAUUUUGUUGGUUUCUAGGAUCGACGUAAUGAUUAAUAGGGAUAGUUGGGGGCAUUAGUAUUCAAUUGUCAGAGGUGAAAUUCUUGGAUUUAUUGAAGACUAACUACUGCGAAAGCAUUUGCCAAGGAUGUUUUCAUUAAUCAAGAACGAAAGUUAGGGGAUCGAAGACGAUCAGAUACCGUCGUAGUCUUAACCAUAAACUAUGCCGACUGGGGAUCGGAUGAUGUUAAUUUUUUAAUGACUCAUUCGGCGCCUUACG